UAUGUAGGGGGCGAGCGUUGUCCGGAAUCAUUGGGCGUAAAGCGCGUGUAGGCGGCUGGUUAGGCGUGAUGUGAAAUCUUCCGGCUCAACCGGAAAACUGCAUUGCGAACCGGCCUGGCUAGAGUGCAGGAGAGGGAAGCGGAAUUCCAGGUGUAGCGGUGAAAUGCGUAGAUAUCUGGAGGAACACCGGUGGCGAAGGCGGCAUCCUGGACCGACACUGACGCUGAGGAGCGAAAGCCAGGGGAGCAAACGGG
rnacentral:rRNA from 1 species